UUACUCCUAGUGUUGAAACAAGUCCCAGCACUAGCCACAGAAUGUAUCAGGUUACUAAAAAACAACAAGGUUUACCCUAGUGUUGAAACAAGUCCCAGCACUAGCCACAGAAUGUAUCAGGCUACUAAAAAACAACAAGGUUUACCCUAGUGUUGAAACUGUGUUCACAUGUUCAUAGAACAAUUAAGUGAGUAUCAACCACUUUUAAUGGAUGGUGACAAUUACUAGUGUUCAACAGGGUCAAGAUGUGCAGUAUGGUGAUAACGCUGGGUUUAUCAUAUUACCUGAUGUCUCUACAUUUGGCAUAGGGGCAUGUACCUGCUGAUGAAAUGUUAUCAUUUAGUGUUUUAUGUCCUGUAUUUUUGUAAUUCUACACUUAAUCUGCCUCAAUGGUAAAUAGGACAUUUUUCCUGUGGAGGACAUGUAUGCCUUUUUUCUUGGUUCCACUGACCCUGCAGGUUUGAUUAACGUGGGGAUAUGGUGUGAAGCUGAUAUCCCCUCUCUGACUUUGCUAUGAGCAAUGUAAACUCACUCACUCACUUGUCAGUAUUCAUAAUAUAUUUACAUUGGUAACAGAUUGAUAAACAAUUGAAUGGUCACUGUAGUCAUGGUAACCUGUAUUGAUCGCUGCUCAUGGUAUCACUCACUGGUUUGUCUGAUGCAAGUAUUUACUGGAUAAUUCAGAGUGUGGUGCUGAAUAACAAACAUUUCAUCUGUAUGCUUGAACUGCCUACAUUUUACUCAGAGGCAUUUUUUGACAAAGGCCAGACACUUUUGAUUAGUAUAUUUUUUUAUUAAAAAAUUGUUUUUUAAAGUUUUUCAUAUCUUUAAGCUUUGUUCCUUGGAGAUGCUGCACUAUCACAUGUUUUUUUCAACCUAAGGCUCCGCUCAUUGUUUCAAACAUUCCAUCAGAUUUCAAUUAAAAUAUUUUUACUCACAAUGAUAUCACCAAUAUAUUUUGCAUCAUUUUCAGUGAGCAAUAUGUUACAGAAGUGAUACAGUUUGACUGUUAUAUGAUGCUUUUCUGUGAAAAACACUUUGAAAACUGUUGUACAUUUUUGUAUACAAGUUGUAUGUUCUAUUGAUUUACAAUCGUGUGAUAUACGUGUUAUAAUUGUUUUGUUAAUUUUUGUUGAUGAUUAUGUUAAUGUCCACAGUCUUGGUGAUGGACAAACUGUUUUCACUAUUUUGUAUCAAACCAUAAUGUGUGUAAAUAAUAAUAAUUUCAAUCGGUGUUUUGUGGCUCAAUGGUAAGAUAAAAUAUCAAGAAAGAAGAAAAGGUAUAUUUCUGAAAGUUUCUUUCAUGACAUUUUUCAUAUACAUGUAGAAAUUGGGGCUGUCGUCUUGGUUAAACCCCCUACAUGAGCACAAUGUGUGAAGCCCAUUUGUGGUGUCCCCCGCCAUGAUGUUGCUAAAAACAGCAUAAAACCAUACUCACUCACUCUUGGUUAAACCGUGUGAACGUCAUAUCACUGUAUAUCAUAUAUAUUUACUCUAAAAAACAAUAAAAGGAGUUUGUUCACCAUUAAAAAUAUCAUGUAAUCAUGUACAUUUGUGUAGACCCUGAAUGUGCUUGCGUGCGUGUACUUUAGUAUGUUCUACACUGUCAUAACCCUUGCCAUCUUUAUAGUGUCUUCCAUUUUUCACUUUUUCCAGUUUACAAAUCAUUCAUUGUAUUUCAUACACCCAUGAGAUAUAUAUGGAAAUAACUAACAUCACACAUUCAUUGACUGAAAUAGUUGUUUGAAAAUAAAAAGGUGAUCGACUA